rnacentral:tRNA from 1 species
GCUAGCGUAGCUUAAACAAAGUAUGGCAUUGAAGAUGUUAAAAUGGACUCUUGAAAGUCCCGCAGGCA